rnacentral:rRNA from 1 species
AGAGUUUGAUCAUGGCUCAGGAUGAACGCUAGCGGCAGGCUUAAUACAUGCAAGUCGAGGGGCAGCACGGGUAGCAAUACCUGGUGGCGACCGGCAAACGGGUGCGGAACACGUACGCAACCUUCCCAUAACUGGUGAAUAGCCCUCCGAAAGGAGGAUUAAUACACCGUAACAUAAUGAAGUGGCAUCACUUUAUUAUUAUAGGCUUCGGUCGGUUUUGGAUGGGCGUGCGCCUGAUUAGGUAGUUGGCGGGGUAACGGCCCACCAAGCCUACGAUCAGUAACUGGUGUGAGAGCACGACCAGUCACACGGGCACUGAGACACGGGCCCGACUCCUACGGGAGGCAGCAGUAAGGAAUAUUGGUCAAUGGACGAAAGUCUGAACCAGCCAUGCCGCGUGGAGGAUGAAGGUCCUCUGGAUUGUAAACUUCUUUUAUUUGGGAAGAAAUGUGAGAAUUCUUUUUCACUUGACGGUACCAGAUGAAUAAGCACCGGCUAACUCCGUGCCAGCAGCCGCGGUAAUACGGAGGGUGCAAGCGUUAUCCGGAUUUACUGGGUUUAAAGGGUGCGCAGGCGGAUAUGUAAGUCAGUGGUGAAAUCUUUGGGCUUAACCCGAAAAUUGCCAUUGAUACUAUAUAUCUUGAAUGCUGUGGAGGUAAGCGGAAUAUGUCAUGUAGCGGUGAAAUGCUUAGAGAUGACAUAGAACACCUAUUGCGAAGGCAGCUUACUACGCAGAUAUUGACGCUCAUGCACGAAAGCGUGGGGAUCAAACAGGAUUAGAUACCCUAGUAGUCC